rnacentral:rRNA from 1 species
UACGUAGGGGGCAAGCGUUGUCCGGAAUUACUGGGCGUAAAGAGCGCGCAGGCGGUCGUUCAAGUCGCGUGUGAAAGCCCCCGGCUCAACUGGGGAGGGUCACGCGAUACUGAUCGACUCGAAGGCAGGAGAGGGUAGUGGAAUUCCCGGUGUAGUGGUGAAAUGCGUAGAUAUCGGGAGGAACACCAGUGGCGAAGGCGACUACCUGGCCUGUUCUUGACGCUGAGGCGCGAAAGCUAGGGGAGCAAACGGG